rnacentral:lncRNA from 1 species
AAAUAAAUCUAUUUAUCGAACAAGUUCAAAUAGUUAUGACUAUUUGAAUAAUUAUCUAUUUAAAAUGUUAUGACCUUUUCUUUUAUCAUAAAAAAAUUACUUCAGUUCAUAAAAGCUUAUCCAAAAUAAAAUAAUAUUACUUUAUUAAUAUUUCAAAAAUUGAAAAAUUGGAUAUUUAAAAGAUAAAGUAAUUUAUCAAAUCAAGGCAAAUAAUUAUGGCCAUUCGAACAAUUAUCUAUUUCAAAU